UACGUAGGGGGCGAGCGUUGUUCGGAAUUACUGGGCGUAAAGGGUACGUAGGCGGCUAUACAAGUCACAGGUGAAAUCUCUGCUUCCAAGGUAGAAACUGCUCGUGAUACUGUAUAGCUAGAGGACAAGAAGGGGAAGCGGAACUCUGAGAGUAGCGGUGAAAUGCGUAGAUACUCAGAGGAACGCCAGUAGCGAAGGCGGCUUCCUGGCUUGUUUCUGACGCUGAAGUACGAAAGCUAGGGGAGCGAUCGGGAUUAGAUACCCCCGUA
rnacentral:rRNA from 1 species